GAUGCCAUGUGGUUUGGGGAAUGGCAGCUCUGUGUGUUAGAGGACAGACCCUCACUGACAGAUGGGAGCUGUGACAAGGGGUGAAUGAUCUGAUGCCUAUUAAGAGAGAAUUUACAACUACAUCUACUACAUUCAGAACGGGGUAAUGGCUUCUCUCCUGUGUGAACCCGUACCUGAGAAUUAAGCAUUGCUUAUAGAAUAAAACAUUUCCCACAUUCAGAACGGGGUAAUGGCUUCUCUCCUGUGUGAACCCAUACCUGAGAAUUAAGCAUUGCUUAUGGAAUAAAAAAUUUCCCCCAUUCAGAACGGGGUAACUGCUUCUCUCCUGUGUGAACCCAUACCUGAGAAUUACGCAUUGCUUAUAGAAUAAAACAUUUCCCACAUUCAGAACGGGGUAAUGGCUUCUCUCCUGUGUGAACCCAUACCUGAGAAUUACGCAUUGCUUAUAGAAUAAAACAUUUCCCACAUUCAGAACGGGGUAAUGGCUUCUCUCUUGUGUGAACCCAUACAUGAGAAUUACGCAUUGCUUCGAGAAUAAAACAUCUACCAUAUUCAGAGCAACAGAAUGGUUUCUGGCUUGUGCGAAUCAGUGAAUACGAGCAAGAUGUGUUUUUUCUGUAAAACAUUUCCCACAUUCAGAACAUAAAAAUGGCUUCGACCCUGUGUAAAUCAUCCAAUGUUUAAGAUCCACCUCCUGACCAAAGAAUCUCCCACAUUCAGGACACAAAAGUGGUUUCUCUUCUGAGUGAGUAUUCUAUUGUCUGUGAAGAUCACAUAUCAGACUGAUAAAAUCCCACAUUUAGAGCACGAAAACAGCUCCUGCGUGAAUCCUUUGAUGUAAUUCAAGAAUCGACUGCAGUUUGAAACAUUUCCCACAUUCAGAACAAGGAAGCGAUUUCUUUCCUUGACAAGUCUUCGAAGGACCUGAUUAAAUGCCGUUUCUGGUAAGCGCAAUGAUGUUGGAAGGAAUUUCCGUUCCAGUCGAACCAUUUCUGACAAUCAGAACAAGUAACUUUCUUUCCUUAAUGGAUUAACUAAGUCGAAGGAUUGAUUGAGAUAUUUCCUAUUCACUACAUUGUGCACCCCAAUAAACGCUGGAAUUUGAACCUA